UUUUGAAGUUCCCAAUUUAACGCUAUCCCUACUUUGACAUGUUAUAUUCCAAAUGUAUUUAUUGAUACUGUGUACAUUUUUUGUCAUUUCUGAUGUCUUUAACAGUUGUUUUAUGUGUGUUUUUCAGGAUUACAUUUCUGUGCGGAAGGAUUAAAAAACUACACCAGACUGGUGGCCAUGACAGAUGUCAGUGGGAAAUUUAAACAUGGACUAGAUACUUUGAUGUGUAGCAAAAAAGUUCAUCGUUGAUGGUGGUGUUUUUCUGUGAUAUAUUGACUGGGAUAGUAUUACUCUUCAGAAAUACAGAGCUGUCAAUGCUGCAAUUUUGUUGUGAAAUUCACAAUCCAUGUCCAAAAGUGCUUGUUUUACUAUACAGCAAAGAAGGAGAAAUUGUACCGGGCCGACACCUAUAUGGCAAAUUCAGAAAGUGGAAUAUCUCAGCAACCAUAGGGUUUACAGUCCUGAAACUUCACACACUAGUAUCUGAUAACAAUACAAAUCAGUGGCUAAAAGGAUAUUUCCAAGGCGAUGAAUUCCAUAUGUCAGAAGGAAAUUUAGAAUCGUACAACCAGUCAGCAGCUACCCAUAAACCAGACCAACCUAUUAAGUCGAGCGGGCAGAAGCUGUGAUUCCCAGUGUAACACCGCAGAAUGACGGUUAGUUUUCGGAUUACAUUUCUGUGCGGAAGGAUUAAAAAACUACACCAGACUGGUGGCCAUGACAGAUGUCAGUGGGAAAUUUAAACAUGGACUAGAUACUUUGAUGUGUAGCAAAAAAGUUCAUCGUUGAUGGUGGUGUUUUUCUGUGAUAUAUUGACUGGGAUAGUAUUACUCUUCAGAAAUACAGAGCUGUCAAUGCUGCAAUUUUGUUGUGAAAUUCACAAUCCAUGUCCAAAAGUGCUUGUUUUACUAUACAGCAAAGAAGGAGAAAUUGUACCGGGCCGACACCAAA